GUCUCGCAACCACGGCGUGGGAGGUUCUCGUCCGGAGCAGUUGCCUGCCUCGGCCUGGUUCCUGCUUCGCCGUUUGGUUCCUCACAGAGGUCGUCCGCCCGAAUCAGCCCGUGGGGACCCUGGUGCCCUGUCCACCCGGACGCCUCGCGUUUGGUGGCCUGGAAGACCACCAGACUGGGGUCCAGGGGGGGGCGUGCCCUCCUCCGGACACCCUUCCGCCCACCCCUGCCUGUGUUAAUUAUUGUCUGUUUCUUUCGUUUAGGCACGUCUGGGAGCCGUGCCUUUGAGGGGGGGUACUGUCAUGAUCCUACUUAGCACACUACUGACUUACACAUGCAGUACCACAGUUCCUGUCUUGGUUGUCUGUCAUAGGCUAUCUCUAGCUCCACAAAGACACAAUGCAUGAAACCAUACUGUUGUUCCGGCAGUGCCCAGCUCAUGGCGUUCACCUCUCCUCUUUCAUCGGCGCAAGCUCCACGACGACCCACCUUCGCAUGUUCGCUCCAGUGGCAGUAUUCAACCCAUGCCGUCGAUUGCUGAUGUCGCAGUGACACCCUACCCACAGCUGCCGCCACACUCUCCAACAGCAACGUGCGAUGCAGCAUGGGUUGCUUCAGCAGCAGCUCCCAGCGCAUGCCACCCACCACGUGCUCAUGUCUCGUCGGCACCCGGCAUGCAAUAUUCACCAUGUGGUCAUGUUCUGACAGCGCCAAGCGCGUGCCAUCCACUAGUUGCUCAUCUCAUCAGUGCUUGAACCGCAGGGUCCACCACAUGUUCUUGUUCCAGUGGCGCUCGGCCCAUGCUGUUCAACAUGUGUGCAGGUCUUAUCUACGCCCAACCCACAGUGUCCAAGUAGAGCGCAGCUUUCUGCUUCCCCACUACACUCCACCCAAGCCACACCAACCAAAUCUGUCAGUCAUUUAACACGUUCUAUUUCACCCAUGUUUCCAGGUUCCCGAAUCCAUGAGCACUCUGUCACUCUUGUGUCCACUCCAACCAAGCCUCGAUGCCAGCAGGCUGAGGAGGCACCUGACGACCCACAGCUUCCUCUUGCGUAUGUCUCAACAGUGCCUGAUCCACAGCGGCCUUUCGCUUGAGUCUUGGCGGCGCCUGAACCCCAGUCGCCUCUUGCUCAUCUCUCGGCGGCGCCUGAACCACAGCCACCUCUUGCUCAUGUCGCUGUGACACCUGAACCCCAACCACCUCUUGCUCAUGACGCGGUGACACCUGAACCCCAACCACCUCUCGCUGGUGUCUUGGCGGCGCCUUAACCUCAGUUGCCUCUCGCUCAUCUCUCAGCGGCACCUGAACCCCAGCUGCCUCUCACUCAUGUUGCUUAUGUGGCGGUGGCACCUGAACCCCACCCACCGCUUGCUCAUGUCUUGGCACCACCUGAACCUCAGCCACCUCUCGCUCAUGUCUCAGCGGCCCCUGGACCCCAGCAAUCUCAUGCUCAAGUCUCAGCGGUGCCUGGCCCCCACCCACCUCUUGCUCAUGUCGGGGCGGCGCUUCACCCCAGCCACCUCUUGUUCAUCAAAGACGGCAAUGAGUCUGCGUAUCGACACGAAGCGGCAAGACUGGAGCUUUGGUGUGGUCAACACAACCUGACGAUGAACACUCAAAAGACUGUCGAGAUGAUUAUGGACUUCAGGAGGCAUCAUUCACCACAGCUGCCCCUGACACUGUUCAAGUGUCUUGUGUCAACCGUCAAGACCUUUAGGUUCCUGGGAAUUACAGUCUCAGAGGAUCUGCAGUGGGGGACAAACAUCAACUUCAUCCUCAAAAAGCCCAGCAAAGGAUAUACUUCUUGCGGCUUUUGAGGAAGCAUGGCUUGUCACACAAGCUGCUGAGACAGUUUUACAGAGUGGUUAUCCAAUCAGUACUGUGUACCUCCAUCACAGUCUGGUUUGGGGCUCCCACAAAAAAGGACAAACACAGAAAGCAAAGGACUAUUAAAACCUUUGAACGGAUUGUCGGCACACGAUACCCACUAAUCGAGGACUUGCACGCAACGCGUACUAGGUCCAGAGGAUCCUUUCGGACCCUCCACCUCCUAGCCAUCAGCUCUUCCAGCUCCUUCCGUCGGGAAAGUCAAAAGUAGUAGGCAUUCAACCCUUUUUGCC